UGUAAAACUGGUGACCUUCAAGUAGCGUC
rnacentral:piRNA from 1 species